rnacentral:rRNA from 1 species
UACGUAGGGUGCAAGCGUUAAUCGGAAUUACUGGGCGUAAAGCGUGCGCAGGCGGUUGUGCAAGACAGAUGUGAAAUCCCCGGGCUUAACCUGGGAAUGGCAUUUGUGACUGCACAGCUAGAGUGUGUCAGAGGGAGGUAGAAUUCCGCGUGUAGCAGUGAAAUGCGUAGAUAUGCGGAGGAAUACCGAUGGCGAAGGCAGCCUCCUGGGAUAACACUGACGCUCAUGCACGAAAGCGUGGGGAGCAAACAGG